GGCCAUUACAAACCAUUGUGUGGAAAUCUAUUCACAAACCGGCCAUGCGUUUAGACUGGAAGAAAGAAGAUUUCAUCUAAGGCAAAGGAAAGAUUUUUUUACUGUAAGAACAAUCAGGAUGUGGAAUUCUCUGCCUGAAGAAGUGGUUUUAUCAGAGUCCAUACAGAUGUUCAAACGGCUACUAGAUGCAUACUUGCAAGAACAGAAUAUUCAAGGAUAUAAUCUAUCAAUGUAGGGUAAUAACUG